rnacentral:rRNA from 1 species
GAUGAACGCUGGCGGCGUGCCUAAUACAUGCAAGUCGAGCGGACGGAGGGGGCUUUUUCCUCUCUUCAGUUGCCGACGGGCGGGUAAUUCCUACGUGUCUACCCUGCAUAGGGGGAUAAGGUCACUAAGCGGGACCGAAUCCCGUAUCGGAUCAUAUGGUGAAACUGAUGGUUCUAAAGUCCUCGCGCUUUUUGCUGUGCCUAGGUCGGAUUAGCUAGUUGGAUUGGUAAAUGCCUACCAAGGCGACGAUCCGUAACAGGUCUGCGUGGCUGAUCAGUCACACUGGAACUGAGACACGGUCCAGACUCCUACGGGAGGCAGCAGUAGGGAAUAUUUGACAAUGGGCGAAAGCCUGAUCCAGCAAUGCCGCGUGUGUGAAGAAGGUCUUCGGAUUGGAAAACACUUUAAGUUGGGAAGAAGGACAGUAAGAUAAAACCUUGCUGUUUUGACGUUACCAACAGAAGAAGCACCGGCUAACUUCGUG